GAAAUGGAACAGGGGCAGAAAAUAGCACACUUUUACUCUACGCAACUGUUGCUUUUUCAUGAUCUUCAGGAAUUUUACUGGGAUAAUUAUCCAAAUAAAUUGCAAGCAUUCUAUCCAAAUGGUAAGCAGAACAUCUUAUUAUGUAAUCAUAUUUGUUUAUCCAUAAUUAAUAUAACUUUCUGAGUAUUGAAAUGAGAAACUUGAUUUACUCUUCUUCACUCAUGUUUUAAUUUUUUUAUAAGAAAAACUAGAAUCACUAAAGAAUUUCUUUUUAUUUUAUUUAAAAAUUAUAAUCCUGAGAUGCAAAUAUAUGCCAUGUAAGCCUGGGAACUAUUUAAUCACUUUACUCUAAAAUCUGGUAAAAGGUAAAAUUUCUGAAAAUAGGUGACUGGCAAACAUUUUGUAAACAAUAUAUAAGAAGAAUUGUAUAUCAAAAUAUACACAUAAAACUAUCUUUUCAGAUAAUUAUGUAUCAUUUAUUUUCUUAUAGCGAAAUUAUAAAAAUACAACCUAUAGCCUUCCAUAGAUACAUAAUUAACUAUGUUUUGAAAUGAUAUCCAAUUCAGUACCCUCAUACAUUUGAAACUUUGAUAAGCUGGUCUAUCUUCACUUUGGGGAUCUUCUUCAUUAAGAGUUUGUUUUCUCAAGUUUUGAGGUAGGAUACAUGAAGUCAUUCUUCUUCUUUAUAAUUAUGUGGCAGGAACUAUCUCCCUGAAAACUUUAUGCUUAAGUUUUUGACAAUCACACUGUCAGUCAGAUGGUGCAAAGUCUUUUAAUACUUUUUAAUAUAAGAGAGUUGUCUAAAAUACAGAUAGUUCUCCAUCUGAGCUCAUGACCCAAGCAAUGUGCUUCAAAAUUGCAUUUAUUGUAUUUUUCUUAUUACAAAUGAUACUAUGUUCAUAAUGGAUAGAUAAAUUAGAUACACAUAAAUACAAUUAAAAAGCAUAUUCUCACCACCUAAUGUAACCUGUUAACCUUUUGUAUAAAUUGGUGAAUGGUUUCAGUAUAUGAACACACAACCUACUGUAAAAAUUCAAGAAAUGAGUGUGAUGAUGAUGUAAAAUGCAGGUUCACCUUCUCUGUCCCCACUUCCUCUGCAGCUUGGGUAUAAAUGCCUGCUCCACCACCUGUUCUCUGUGUGAACUUUGGCAAAUCCUUUACACUCUCUGGGCUGUCCUUUCUCAU
rnacentral:lncRNA from 1 species